GUCACGGCCUCGGAGAACCCGCAGUAGUUCCCCGGUGCUCUCAGAAUAAAGGCCCAUCUCCCGACGAGGCCCCAUUCGCUCUGGCCGGCCCCUGCGCCCCUCCCGCCGCCCUUCCUGCCUGGGCUCCCAAUUUACUCUGUGGAGCAGGCAGCAGUGCGUUUUGGGCAGAGGGGUUGGGCAGCUUAAUUCUUCCCUCCCCAGCAGCCUAACAACUGCUGAGUGCCAAUGUGUGUUCCUUCCUCCCACAACUGUUUACUCAGCGCCUGCAUUCGUGUGUUAGGCUCCAGGAAAAGUUAGAUAGUAAAACAACCCUUCAAAUCACUAGCUAGUACAACCUGAGAGGCCCCGUGCUGUAUUCACACAGCAGAUGUGGCAUUCGCACCCAGGCUCCAUAGAUCACUAACCACUGGACAUCCUAAAAGCCCCGAUGCAACCAGAAGGUGCCAAGGAUGCAGAUAUGAAGAUACGGAACAGACAUGGGUCCCGCCCUCUGAGACCUUACAACCAGUGGGCAAGACAGCCGCUGAUCCUCAAGUACAUGACAAUAUAGUGGACUCAGUCUCCCGGAAUAGUCAGUGGCAGCCUCCUGGAGGAGGUGGCCUCUGAUGAUGCCUCCAAAGGCCCCCUGCGUCUGAACAGCGACCCAGCUACUUGCUGACUACGUGACUUUGGGCAAAGCAGAUCAGUGCCUUGCCUCAGCUUCCAGGUCAGCAAAGUGGGGGCGAUGCCGGACCAGCACACCUCAGACGGCUGUGUGAGGGCGGAGGGGUGAAACACCGAGAAGGGCCGGAGACAAUGCCUGGCGCAGGUGAGGUGCUCAAUCCGUGUUCACCGUUGUUCUUGUCAGAGUGACGAGGAGAAAAAGAAGCCAGAGCAGAGCCUGCCCCUUGGCCUGUUUGCCAGCUUGUGAAGAGGGGCGGAGACUGAAGACGGGAAAGGACGGAGCAGGUGGGGGUGGGCGCCAAGACAUUCGGGAGAUCUGGGGGGAGGGGAUGUGGUACUUUUCUUGCAACUUUUCUGUGAGUCUGAAAUUAUGUGAAAACUAAGAGUUAAAGAAAGCAGGGCAUUGCCCUGAGGCCCAAGAGAGAUGACAAGUGUGAAGGUUGCUGUCUGGCACUCAGCCCCUGCCCGAGCUGUCCCGCUGUCAGGAGCUGUCCCGCUGUCAGGAGCCGCUCUGUGUCAGGCCUUGGGGAGGGGCCCGGAGGCCCCCGAAUGAUACAAACUCCGGCCCUCGAUCCAGGGCCUUCCUGAGUAUGGGCCCCAAUACAAGUUCGGCUCUCA